rnacentral:lncRNA from 13 species
AAAUAAAAUUAUUGGAGUUCUUUAAAUGCUUUCUUCCUUUAAAACGUAGAAUCCAAUUAAUCAAUCAAUAAAUACAGUCAUCUCUGUCUUAAUUUCAAUAAUCUGUUCUUGGUUACUUCUAUUGAAAUACUAACUGGGAGGCUAAUUAACAUGAUUUUACAUGGGAAAAAUUAUAAUGCAGAAAUGUUAACCAUAACCCACAGCCAAUUUCCUCAAACAUAACUAAAACUCAAUAAAACAUCUAUAAAUAAAUAACAAAUUGUCAUGUUAUGGUGUAAAAUGCAUAAUAAGAACAUUACUUCUUAGCAACCAAUAAAUUAACAUACCUAAUAAUCAGUUAUGUGGUAUACAGUAAAAUACUAAACAUCUUCUUUUUGAAGCUUCAAGAAUUUUUCAAAAUAUCAACAUGUGACUUGGAUGGUGUGGCUGAAAUUACUUAAAACCUUUCCCAUUGUUUCAUUGAAAUUAUUUUAUUAUUAAUUGUUCAUUUCAUUGAUAAUGUCACACAUCUUUUUAUGUGCCUGUCAUGUACUUAUAAAUAUCAUCUUUUGUUAAAUGCUAUUGUGUGUGUGUGUGUGUGUGUGUGUGUGUGUGUGUGUGUGUGUGUGUGUGUGUAUCGGUAUAUAUAUGGUACAUAUAUAUCAGUAGAUAUAUAACUUAAUUUCAGAUAUAUAUAUAUACACUUGAAAUUAAGCCAAAAUGCAUGGUAUGAGACCCAGUAAAACUCAUAUCCUACUCAACCAACCAAAAGUGUUUAGGACUUAAAUGGAACAAAAGAUUUCAAUAGCACUAACAGCCCAAGGAAUGUAUGUUAAACCUUUUGUUUUACAUCCAGAAAAUUAGAAAACUGGGCUAACCACUGUAUGGAUCAGGUUUUAAAAAUAAUUUGUAUGAUUUAAUCUUACCAAAGAAAGCUUACUCAUUUAAAGACAUUUUUAUACUAGCUCUUCAUCUCAUCAGUGGAAACUGUUUAUUAAGAGGGAGUAGUAUGAAAUACAGAAAUUGCAUAAACCAAAAUCUCACACUUAAUCCUUUAACGUUAAUUGGAUUUCAGAGUGAGUAAAGUAUUACAAAAAAUCACAGCAAUGGGACAAAACACUGCACAUGUACUUUGUUCUCUGAGAACCUUUGGUUUAGACUUUUUGUACAGUAAGCCAUUUCAUUAAAUAUAGUUAGAUUCGCAGCCUAAGACCUUAAGUGACACACUCAAUGACAACAUUCUUAUAAAUUAUAGCAAUUAUAUGCCCCAAUCUUAGCCCACUGCCAUCUCCACCUCCCAGGUUCAAAGAAUUCUCCUGCCUAGUCUUCCAAGUAGCUGGGACUACAGGCAUGUGCCACCAUGCCCAGUUUUAUUUAUUUUUAGUAGAGACGGGGUUUCACCAUGUUGGCCAGGCUGAUUUCAAGCCCCUAACCCCAAGUGAUCUGCCCGAAUAGGACUCCCAAAGUGCUGGGAUUACAGGCAUGAGCCAUCACGCCCGGCCUUCUCUAGAUAAACUUUCAAUGAGCCUAAUAUGAAAAGUAGUCAAGUGAAUCUAGUAUUACAUAACAUACUUUUUCAUCCUGAGGAUACAUGUAGUUGUCAUUUGAAUUCAAAUUUGCCACAAAAAAAAAAAAAAAAGUGGGGAAUACACAACUUCUCUUACUGAGUUUGAGGUAUAAAGCCCACAUAUUCAUUUGACCACUAACAUUACCAUUUGCAGAUAUUGAACAGCUUUGCAAAUAAAAUUGUUCAAUAUAUCA